AACAAAACAAAAGGCUGCUCCAUUCUCCCACUUGACCCUUGUUGGGUCAAAUUCUCAAUAGUAUCUUCUUGCUCCAUACGGCCAUACCCUUUCAGGCUUUGUUCACUGCAAUCUGCAAAAGCAGCUUAACCUUAUCAUCAUCACUUAUCAGUGUCUAACGAGAUCUGACUACCUACGUGUCGUGUUGCAUGUCUCUCUCACUCUCUUAUGUUGAGUUUGAGUGAACAACACAGUAUUUACUCACACACCUCUUUGAAGAGAGUGUGUGUUUCUGUUUUUCUUUUCAAACUUUACUCACUUCUCAUUUUCCUCAAACAAUUUUUUCUCCUCUCUUUAUAUGGCUAUUUUUAUUCCAUUAAUAACAGGUAUGUCUCUUCUCCUCAGAUCUGAUUCACUUAUGAUUUUUUUCCCUUAAGAUUUAUGAAAGGUUCUUGUUUUUAUUUGAAGCUUCUAUAUUUGGAGUGUUUUUUUGUUCUUAUUGUAUGAGUACUUCUUUUGGUGUAAAUAGUUUUGUUAUUUGGGACAUAUGUAUGCAUAUAUAUAUAUAUAGAAAUUGACAGAAGAGAGCGAGCACACAGAAGCAUUUGGUAUAUAAUAUAUAUACUAUUUCUUUUGUGUGCUCGGUCUCUUCUAUCAUUUUCCAGAAUGCUGGAAAGGAAAUUUCUAUGCUUAUGUUUAUUUGUGUCCCAAACUAAACCAAACUAUCAUCUCUCAUUGAGUAUAUAUCAUCACUAAAUAUACUAUAUUGCAGGCUGCCCUAUAUUGCAUGUUUUAAUCCAACGGUGAAAACAAAAUUUUGUGAAUUGUGGUUUUGAUCUUAGAUUAGCCAUUAAUUAUAUUAAUGAUUAGUUUUAUAAUAACAUUACCCAACAGAUAUAUGACUUUUGAUAGCAGGUAUGUCAAUAUAUAAAUUUUAAUUAUCAAUAUCUUUAAUUGUUUAUUAAUAAAAAUUUGAUAAUUUAAAAAUAUUUAGGGAUGGCAAUUUGACC
rnacentral:lncRNA from 1 species